rnacentral:lncRNA from 1 species
GUCCUAUUCCAGGAGGUCACCUACUGUGAACAGGAGGCAUCAGGAGCAUCUGAGUAGAGACAAUGUUUGAGAGAACUCUGGGGGCUCCUGAACCUUUGUCCUGUGUCUGUAUCCACGACUGCUACUUCAGGGAGUUAAUAAGCAGCCUGGGAGGACUGCCUGAGGAGGUCCACGAACCUAAUCGUUAACUGCAAGGCCUAAUCAACGUCUGCUUCCCACCCAGAGUCCCCCACAGCUACACAGCCCUGGUCCUCCCAGUAAUGGAUGGAAAAUCGGCAAUUUCCUGACAGUUAGCAACCAAUUUUCCACCAAUUAGGAGAGAGAUGGUGGUCUCUGGAGGAAACAAGAUGGCUCCUGUGCAAGGAGUUGGUACCGGAAGAGAGAUGAUCCUAGAAGCACCAAGGAACCAACACCUGUUGGGGUGGGGGGA